UUCGAAGUUAAUGGGUUUCUUUCUUCAUGUGACCAGUUUACCAUAUAAUAACUACUGUUUCCUGGCUGCCAACCCAUGGCCAAGUUCUUCCAAACAUUACUUCACUGAGUCCUCCCAGUAACCCUCUGAGGUGAUAUAAAGAAACUUUAACAGUUCAAGAAGUGGAUGGUCUCUUUUCAGAGAACUGCAAAGAGGGCCAGAAGGCAAAGAGCUUUUACAGGAUAAAGGAUAAAGAACGAGGAAGAGGAAAAGACAAAAUACCUGAUUGGCCAGGGGCCCGCAGUCAGCCUUGUUUGGGAACAUAAGAGGGAAAUCAGAGCCUCUCCAAAGAAAACCACCCUUUCAGUUCGGGGCCUCGGGGAAGAUCUUUGAUGCAUUCUUCUUGCUCAUGGUGCCUCCUCUUCAUUCCACAUAGCCUUUCACGAAGCUUACAAGAAGGGACAUGAGCACAGGCACCCAGUUAGCAGCAACCUGGGGAGGAUGCAGAUGGUAAAGAACUGAAACUGAGUCGCCAGCAAGAACUUGAGAAAUUGGCACCAAGGCUCAGAGCAAGACACUGGUGGAAUCAGGACCGGGAUGCCUACUUUGGGCUAUGUUUUAUGUUCUAUUUGUUGGAUUGCAAGUUACCAACACAACUACAUUCUAUAAUAAUACCUCUUCUCAGAGGCACUUCCAUUUUCCAAAGAGGAGGAAAAAGAGAUGAAUUUUAGUAGAGAACAGUGAAAUUUGGGGAAGUCUAGCCAUUCUUGCCUAUAUUUGGGAUUCCUAUCUAGGAAGCAGAGCUAAAUUUCAUGGAAUACGUAUGUUUGAACUUGAGGGUACAUCUCCUUGGAAUUGAGAUAUGGGUUUUCCUUUGGUCAGAGAGAAGCCUGCUUCCUGCAGCAUCUCUGGUCAGCCUCUGGGUUUCCUCUACUCUUGCUACCUGCUCACGUACUAACCACGAGUUUUCAGCUGCUUACCUUGUGAAAUCUAAUGAGGGCACCACACAGCAGGCCCCUUGGAUGCCAGCCAUCAUUAUCCAGAAAUAAACAAGAGCUCCAGAUAAACACAUCAUGUAAGCCUUAUCUUAAGAAAUGAAUCCUUGAAAACAUCAGCCCAGUGAUGACAAAAAAGAAUUCUACCUAGUUCGAGUUCUCUGCAGGAAGCAUUUUUGAUAUUGUUUUGGCUUUAGGAAAAAAAAAAAAAACACUGGACUUUGUGGGGGUUACCUAAGUGCACAGUGAAACUGCAAAUUCAAACUGUUUGAAUUCUGU